ACCUUUGACCUUGACCUAAUUUUCGUUUUUUUGGACCAAGGAUCUCAAAUCAAAAGACCCGAGGUCUCUAUCACUUAUGGUUUUCCAGUUUAAAAUACAUUUCAAAAUUUCAAAAACAAAAGGGGAAUUAACUCUCAUAUGGAAUCUCUAUAAGGCUUCGGUAAAAAAAAAACAGAACGUCCUGAGGAUGUAACGCGCCAUUUGGAAAAAUAAAUUUGUCGGUUUCUUAAACGGUUGUGAAGAUUAAGCGAUAACAAAAAAAAACAGUGUUCGGGGAGAUAACUCUUAUAUGGGAAAGUAUUGGGUUUCGCGGUGUCAGUUUCAAAAGCGCAUAAACUGUUCGAUAUCAUAUUUCAUUUAUCUAAGCGACAUCUUGCGAAACAAAAAAACAGCGAAGGAAAAAAAUGUUGGCGGAAAAAAAAAAAUAAUAAUAAUAAUAAUAAUAAUCAGAACAAAAACAAUAGGUCUUUCAUCCGAAAGGUUGAAAGACCUAAUUAAAAACCAAUUGUUCAGAGAACCAUUGAUGGUCUUUCCACCAGUAAUGAUUUUUUUUUAUAUGAAAAUAUUAAAAUUUGGUUUUAAAUGUCAAUUUCAACGUCAAAUGACAACUUAUUGUACGCUGAUUCCAAAAAUAUAAGGUUUCUAUACAAU
rnacentral:lncRNA from 1 species